UUGGUGACCAGCGGAGGGAUCAUUAAAGAGUUAUCCAUAACUCCCAAACCCAUGUGAACUUACCGUACGUUGCCUCGGCAGGUCGCGCUCGCCCCGUAGUACCCUACCCUGUAGGGGCCUACCCGGUGGCCGCGGGGAAGCCUGCCGGUGGCCCAGCCAAAAAACUCAGUAUAAUAUUGUAUCUCUGAACUUAACAACUAAAUAAGUUAAAACUUUCAACAACGGAUCUCUUGGUUCUGGCAUCGAUGAAGAACGCAGCGAAAUGCGAUAAGUAAUGUGAAUUGCAGAAUUCAGUGAAUCAUCGAAUCUUUGAACGCACAUUGCGCCCAUUAGUAUUCUAGUGGGCAUGCCUGUUCGAGCGUCAUUUCAACCCUUAAGCCCUCGUUGCUUAGUGUUGGGAGCCUACAGCGAUGUAGCUCCUCAAAGUUAGUGGCGGAGUCGGUUACACACUCUAGGCGUAGUAAACUAUUUAUCUCGCCUGCGGAUGUGGCCGGUCCCCUGCCAUAAAACACCCCAAUUCUUUCAAGGUUGACCUCGGAUCAGGUAGGAAUACCCGCUGAACUUAAGCAUAUCAAUAAGCGGAGGAAAAGAAACCAACAGGGAUUGCCCUAGUAACGGCGAGUGAAGCGGCAACAGCUCAAAUUUGAAAUCUGGCCCUCGGGUCCGAGUUGUAAUUUGUAGAGGAUGCUUUUGGCGCGGUGCCUUCCGAGUUCCCUGGAACGGGACGCCUUAGAGGGUGAGAGCCCCGUACGGUUGGACACCAAGCCUCUGUAAAGCUCCUUCGACGAGUCGAGUAGUUUGGGAAUGCUGCUCUAAAUGGGAGGUAAAUUUCUUCUAAAGCUAAAUAUUGGCCAGAGACCGAUAGCGCACAAGUAGAGUGAUCGAAAGAUGAAAAGCACUUUGAAAAGAGGGUUAAAUAGCACGUGAAAUUGUUGAAAGGGAAGCGUUUGCGACCAGACCUUUUCCUGGCGGAUCAUCCGGUGUUCUCACCGGUGCACUUCGCCAGGUUGAGGCCAGCAUCGGUUUCCGCAGGGGGAUAAAAGCCCGGGGAACGUAGCUCCUCCGGGAGUGUUAUAGCCCCUCGCAUAAUACCCUUGCGGGGACCGAGGACCGCGCUUUGGCAAGGAUGC
rnacentral:rRNA from 1 species